rnacentral:rRNA from 1 species
UACGUAGGGGGCAAGCGUUGUCCGGAUUUAUUGGGCGUAAAGAGCGUGUAGGCGGCCAUGCAGGUCAGCUGUGAAAACUCGAGGCUCAACCUCGAGACGUCGGUUGAAACCGUAUGGCUAGAGUCCGGAAGAGGAGAGUGGAAUUCCCGGUGUAGCGGUGAAAAUGCGCAGAUAUCGGGAAGAACACCUAUGGCGAAGGCAGCUCUCUGGGACGGUACUGACGCUGAAGACGCGAAAAGCGUGGGGGGAGCAAACAGG